rnacentral:lncRNA from 1 species
CUAACCUAUUCCCAGAAGAUGGUCACUGUUUUGGUUGCUUGGCUGGUGUGCCAUGCAGUUCCCCUGGCACUGAGACUGCCGUGAAGGGUUGGCACUCCAGGCUUCCUCAAGAAGAAUGAAAAGGGAUGGGUUAUGGUGUUACACAGAUGACAAAACCGUCCCUACCCUGAGCAGUGUAAGAAGACAGCUGAGAAAAGAACUG